rnacentral:rRNA from 1 species
GACGAACGCUGGCGGCGUGCCUAAUACAUGCAAGUAGAACGCUGAAGGAGGAGCUUGCUUCUCUGGAUGAGUUGCGAAUGGGUGAGUAACGCGUAGGUAACCUGCCUGGUAGCGGGGGAUAACUAUUGGAAACGAUAGCUAAUACCGCAUAAGAGUAGAUGUCGCAUGACAUUUGCUUAAAAGGUGCAAUUGCAUCACUACCAGAUGGACCUGCGUUGUAUUAGCUAGUUGGUGAGGUAACGGCUCACCAAGGCAACGAUACAUAGCCGACCUGAGAGGGUGAUCGGCCACACUGGGACUGAGACACGGCCCAGACUCCUACGGGAGGCAGCAGUAGGGAAUCUUCGGCAAUGGACGGAAGUCUGACCGAGCAACGCCGCGUGAGUGAAGAAGGUUUUCGGAUCGUAAAGCUCUGUUGUAAGAGAAGAACGAGUGUGAGAGUGGAAAGUUCACACUGUGACGGUAUCUUACCAGAAAGGGACGGCUAACUACGUG